rnacentral:lncRNA from 1 species
AAAACCAUUUUCUUUCUUUCAUUACAUAAUACGCUUUCCCCGGGACAAAAUAUUUUUCUGAAUCUGUUAAAAAACCUUUAAAUUGGCUCAAAAUUCAUCGUUCGUUCAUUUUACAUUCGUAACGUUUAUCGUUCGUUCGUCCGUAACUUACUCAUCCGAAGCCAGAAUGAGUUCGUUCUUGAGUCCAUGACUCACGUUUUCAAUGUUCUUUGACAUUCUUAUGAAACCUUAAUUGUU